GCCUUUAUUGAUGAUCAAAUGAAUACUUUUGUUCUUCCAAGAUAACCACAUGCGGAAAAGCUUUUUUGGAGACAUGAACUAAAGAGGC